GUGGCACAGUGUGUGUGUGUGUGUGUGUGUGUGUGGCGUGUUGUGUGUGUGUGUGCAUGUGUAUGUGUGUUUGUGUGCGCACGUGCAGCCGUAGACUUUGUAGACUGUUUUUCACUGUUUACGGUGUAAUUAUCAUAAUUGCAGUGUGCUAUCCGUCACUGUGGUGGAAUGUUUGCUUGCCUCUA